rnacentral:rRNA from 1 species
AGAGCGAACGCUGGCGGCAGGCUUAACACAUGCAAGUCGAGCGGGCGUAGCAAUACGUCAGCGGCAGACGGGUGAGUAACGCGUGGGAACAUACCUUUUGGUUCGGAACAACACAGGGAAACUUGUGCUAAUACCGGAUAAGCCCUUACGGGGAAAGAUUUAUCGCCGAAAGAUUGGCCCGCGUCUGAUUAGCUAGUUGGUGAGGUAACGGCUCACCAAGGCGACGAUCAGUAGCUGGUCUGAGAGGAUGAUCAGCAACAUUGGGACUGAGACACGGCCCAAACUCCUACGGGAGGCAGCAGUGGGGAUAUUGGACAAUGGGCGCAAGCCUGAUCCAGCCAUGCCGCGUGAGUGAUGAAGGCCCUAGGGUUGUAAAGCUCUUUUGUGCGGGAAGAUAAUGACGGUACCGACAAGAAUAAGCCCCGGCUAACUUCGUGCCAGCAGCCGC